UACAGAGGGUGCAAGCGUUAAUCGGAUUUACUGGGCGUAAAGGGCGCGUAGGCGGCUUAACAAGUCACUUGUGAAAUCUCCGGGCUUAACUCGGAACGGCCAAGUGAAACUGUCAAGCUAGAGUGCAGAAGGGGCAAUCGGGAAUUCUUGGUGUAGCGGUGAAAUGACGUAGAUAUCAGGAGGAACACCGGUGGCGAAGGCGGGUCUCUGGGCCGAUAUUGACGCUGAGGAGCGAAAGCGUGGGGAGCAAACAGG
rnacentral:rRNA from 1 species